rnacentral:lncRNA from 13 species
GUGCAGCCCUUAACAGAUCUUCUUGGAUAAACUUAUGCUCUUUUUUUGCAAUUGCCUUUUCCUUCUCAUCUCUCUCUCUCUCUCUUUUUUUUUCCAGAGAAAGAAAAGGACCCUACCUAAAAUGCUUUCUGCUUGAGAGAGCAUCAGAUGAUGCCUCUCAAUACCUGAUGAAGAAAAAGCAAGGGAAGGAGGAGAGGAAGAGGGAGAGAGGGUUGAAGCUACACAGGCAAUGAGGCACCAGAGCGGAUAUGUGUGU